CUUAUUUAACGGCCGCGGUAUCCUAACCGUGCACAUAAUCACUUGCCUAUUAAUUGUAGGCUAGAAUGAAUGGGUUAACGAAUAAAAACUGUCUCAAUUAAUUACUAAAAUUAUUCUCUAUUUGAAGAAAAAUAGAUAAUCUCGAAGGACAAAGACCCUAUAGAGCUUAAUCUUACUUAUAGAAUUACUACUAUAAUGAUAUUCGGUUGGGGCGACCAUGGACUAAUAAAUCAUCCAUUAAAUAAAAGAUAUAUUAAUCAUACAAUUGAUCCUUCUAUGGACCACAAGACCAUUACCUUAGGGAUAACAGGCUAAUCCCACUUAAAGUCCUUAUCAACAGUGGGGUUUGGCACCUCGAUGUUGGCUUAGGGAAUCUAUAUAAAGCAAAAUUAUAUAAAGAUGGUUUGUUCCAACAAUACCCUACUGAGCUGAGUUCAGACCGGGUAAGCCGUUAGCUUCUAUCCUCGACUAAUAUCUACUCCUAGUACGAGAGGACCUGAGAAUAAUACUUACAUAAAUUCAUA
rnacentral:rRNA from 1 species